GCCGAAGUGGCGGAACUGGCAGACGCGCUAGGUUCAGGGUCUAGUGGGAGCAAUCCUGUAGGGGUUCGAAUCCCCUCUUCGGCACCA
rnacentral:tRNA from 2 species